rnacentral:rRNA from 1 species
UACGGGGGGGGCAAGCGUUGUUCGGAAUUACUGGGCGUAAAGGGCGCGUAGGCGGUUGGAUAAGUCAGCUGUGAAAACCACGAGCUUAACUCGUGGCCUGCAGUUGAGACUGUCUGGCUUGAGUGUGGGAGAGGAGAGUGGAAUUCCUGGUGUAGCGGUGAAAUGCGCAGAUAUCAGGAGGAACACCAAUUGCGAAGGCAGCUCGCUGGGACGUUACUGACGCUGAGACGCGAAAGCGUGGGGAGCAAACAGG